CAGUCGCCACGGGAACACGUAGGGUGCGAGCGUUAAUCGGAAUUACUGGGCGUAAAGCGUGCGCAGGCGGUUGUGUAAGACAGGUGUGAAAUCCCCGAGCUUAACCUGGGAACUGCGCUUGUGACUGCACAGCUAGAGUACGGCAGAGGGGGGUGGAAUUCCACGUGUAGCAGUGAAAUGCGUAGAGAUGUGGAGGAACACCGAUGGCGAAGGCAGCCCCCUGGGCCGAUACUGACGCUCAUGCACGAAAGCGUGGGGAGCAAACAGGAUUAGAUACCCCCGUAGUCCCUGUCUCUUAUAC
rnacentral:rRNA from 1 species